AAACCAACAAAAGGUGGGCAAUGGCUCAUACUUGAUUGUCCAUGGAGAAGUGGUUUUAUCGUGUGGUGUAUCCAACAAGGUGUUAACUUUUUUUAUAUAUCCCUCAAAGUCAUACACUCCAAAGUGAGCCAAGCAAGUAUCUAAGGGGUCUGGUGCUAGAAUUGUGGGUGUUGCAUCUUCUAUAAUGUCUUCUAGUGUAUCUACUUCGAAGCAACUAUCCAUUGAUGGUCCUUGGAAAGCACCAAACAUAUUCAGUCUCAGUUUCUUAUUCCCAAACGAUACAUCCAUGACUCCUGUCCUACAAUUAAUGCAUGCAUUUGCCGUAGCUAGGAAGGAUCAUCCUAAGAUAAUGGGAAUUUGUCUUGGGUUGCCACUUAGUUCCAUGUCGAGAA
rnacentral:lncRNA from 1 species